ACACAUGCAAGUCGAGGGGCAGCAUCAUCAAAGCUUGCUUUGAUGGAUGGCGACCGGCGCACGGGUGAGUAACACGUAUCCAACCUGCCGACAACACUGGGAUAGCCUUUCGAAAGAAAGAUUAAUACCGGAUGGUAUAGUUUUCCCGCAUGGGGUGACUAUUAAAGAAUUUCGGUUGUCGAUGGGGAUGCGUUCCAUUAGGCAGUUGGCGGGGUAACGGCCCACCAAACCAACGAUGGAUAGGGGUUCUGAGAGGAAGGUCCCCCACAUUGGAACUGAGACACGGUCCAAACUCCUACGGGAGGCAGCAGUGAGGAAUAUUGGUCAAUGGACGAGAGUCUGAACCAGCCAAGUAGCGUGAAGGAUGACUGCCCUAUGGGUUGUAAACUUCUUUUAUACGGGAAUAAAGUGAGCCACGUGUGGCUUUUUGUAUGUACCGUAUGAAUAAGGAUCGGCUAACUCCGUGCCAGCAGCCGCGGUAAUACGGAGGAUCCGAGCGUUAUCCGGAUUUAUUGGGUUUAAAGGGAGCGUAGGCGGGUUGUUAAGUCAGUUGUGAAAGUUUGCGGCUCAACCGUAAAAUUGCAGUUGAUACUGGCGACCUUGAGUGCAACAGAGGUAGGCGGAAUUCGUGGUGUAGCGGUGAAAUGCUUAG
rnacentral:rRNA from 1 species